CUGUAUCGAUACAAUAUCACCAUGCAAAAUAUCGCGAUACUAUGCUGUAUCGAUUUUUUCCCCCACCCCUAAUAUGUAUGUGGUUUUUUUUUUUUAUAGCAGAUUACAGUGUCCCUGAGAAAAUCCUAGAUUCUCAUAAAUCCAGUAUGAAGAGAAAGGUUGAACACUGAGCUCCACAUCACAGAGGGAGAGAGCGAAGGGGAGAAUGAAGAGCAUGAGGUAUGGAAGGCUGAAAAAGCACACAGACGAAAACAACACAUCGCCAUCAAGAGUAAGGACAUCUUUAAACCCGUACCGGGACAAGAUAAACUCAUGAGAACUGUGAAGACCAAUAGGUACAAGAUAAAAGCAAAGCGGGUGUAGAGCCAUGUUUUGCCACCAGGGGAAACAACCAGUAGGAAGCGUAAGUGGCGACUCUCACAAAGUUUUCUUAAAUAGAGGAAUGCCUGAGCGAGUGAGCAGCACUGAUGUCUUUUGUCUCUUGGUUUUUUUUCUGUGAAAACAGAAGCACCAGCAGGUCAUUCCACCCACACACUUUUAAACGUGGAACAGUCCUGGCCUCUGGGACCUGUAACAAAUGCACCGAGAUCUUCGAGGAAGAAACAUCCAAGAGUUCCUUGCUGCUUUCUAUGUCUUUAACUCUGGAAUUUGAUUGCAUUCUAACCAGAAACUCCUACAAGGUCUUCUGCCAGGUACUUUACCAGGAAUAUGCACGGGAUGUCUUUGCGAGUGGCAUGAAUCAUCAGAAGCCAAGACGGAGCUGACAGAGAACCCUUCGUCUUUGAAACACAAACAUUUUAGAAAACAGGAACGUUAGCACUCUAUGUUCUUCUGGGGAACACACAUGAAGAAGACAACAAACCACGUGGCACUGCAAACCUCAAAUCGAGGACUUCACAGGCCAUCUCUCCAGUCUGGGUGAACGUCCCUUCUGCUGUGCUUUACUUUUGUUAAAAAAAAUAAAUCCUUGAUGAAAAAUCUUCCCCGUUGCA
ensembl:lncRNA